GGGCGAGUAGCUCAGUGGUUAGAGCACUGCAUUCACAUUGCAGGGGUCACAGGUUCAAGUCCUGUCUCGCCCACCA
rnacentral:tRNA from 2 species